UAAAAGACUAAAGGUCACAGGGUAUGGGAUUAGUCUAAUCCAAACCAGAAGUUUACACGACACAUGCGUGGUGUUUACCCAUUACCAUCAGUUUGUUUUGGCCAGCAAAAGAAGCAAGAAAUUCUACGGUGUGAGUCAAGUAGAUUUUUGUGAAGUAAGAGGAGUCUUGUUCUGGGAGGACUGCCGAGACAAGGCAAUCUGGUCCGAGAUGGAUGUCUAUAUUGCAGCUUUCUCAGACUCCAAGAGGUGAAUCACAGCUACAAGGUCUUUGCCUGAAUCUCACUCAGAAGGACAACAAUGUGAGCUAGUUGGCAUUAAGGACUGCUGGUUCAGAGGGAGAGCUACUUCAUGGCUGGCAUGAGAACCGCAAGAGGAGCUGAUGGGAUUCACAGGUUACAUGAUGGUCCAGGAUUGUUGAACACUGUACAGUUGUGGCCAGAGCAUUCUUUUAUCCUCCUACUCAGCAGCCCUCUAACAGCUGCAUUCAUCAGAGACUUUGAAGGGUGUUACCUGUGACUCUUCCUGCGGUCUGAAUAAUACAGGAAUGAGUCUUAUACCAAUCUGGUUCUUUCUGUCAGUAGUGAGAAUAUGAUUUGCAUUGACACUUGUGAGCUAUGGCCAGAAGUGGAGAAGGAAAGAAUUAUGGAAUUAUUUUAGAAAGUGUGCAGACCUAAGUGAUACUUAGAUUGCACAAAGAUUGUUUUGGGGGAGUUACAUAAAAUUAGAUGUAGCCUACACCCAUUUUUCUCCUGAAACAAUUGUUAAGAGGUUGAUUUAAGAGGAUAGUAUAAAACUUGUCCUGAAGGCUGUGGGAUUUCUCUAUGGGAUAAUCAAGCACCAAAGACUGGAAAGUACAAAAACAAAAACAAAAACAAACAAAAAAAACUUCUGUGGAAUCCUAAUGUAUUGAAUGCAGUCCCUAGAAACCAUAGAGAAUCACGAAGAAAUGCCUCAUCAAGAAUGCCACUGCAAUCCACACCAUGCUACAAAUCUUUCCCCAAAUUCUUUGCAAGCUUAUGAACUGGACCAAAAGACUGAAGCCACAACAAGAGGAUAAUAUCAAGGGCAAUGUCAGGAACCACUCUGAUGAAAUAAUAAGUAAUUCUGACAAAUGGAAUUUCCCUACAUUGUAGCUGAAGGCAAAC
rnacentral:lncRNA from 1 species